rnacentral:rRNA from 1 species
GAUUUCCCAUUCGUCAGAAGUAAGACCCCUGAGAGACGAUCAGGUAGAUAGGCUAGAAGUGGAAGUGUAGUGAUGCAUGGAGCGGACUAGUACUAAUAGGUCGAGGACUUAACCAAG